CGUGGGUAACCUGCCCAAGAGAUCGGGAUAACACCUGGAAACAGAUGCUAAUACCGGAUAAUAACAGAUGAUGCCUAUCAACUGUUUAAAAGAUGGUUCUGCUAUCACUCUUGGAUGGACCUGCGGUGCAUUAGCUAGUUGGUAGGGUAACGGCCUACCAAGGCGAUGAUGCAUAGCCGAGUUGAGAGACUGAUCGGCCACAUUGGGACUGAGACACGGCCCAAACUCCUACGGGAGGCAGCAGGG
rnacentral:rRNA from 1 species